rnacentral:rRNA from 1 species
CCUACGGGAGGCAGCAGUGAGGAAUAUUGGUCAAUGGCCGGAAGGCUGAACCAGCCAUGCCGCGUGAAGGGCAGGGCCCUAUGGGCGUUAAACUUCUUUUGUGCGGGAGCAAUAAUGGUCACGUGUGGCCAGACGAGAGUACCGUACGAAUAAGCAGCGGCUAACUCCGGGCCAGCAGCCGCGGUAAUCCGGGGGAUGCAAGCGUUAUCCGGAUUUAUUGGGUUUAAAGGGUGCGUCGGCUGGGAGGUAAGUCAGCGGUGAAAUGCCCCCGCUCAACGGGGUGAAGUGCCAUUGAUACUGCCUUGCUGGACUGCGGAUGCCGUGGGAGGAAUGUGUGUUGUAGCGG